UUCUUUCUGAGCGCUCGGGUCCCCCUCGGGCGAGAGGAAAAGCCCGGCGGAGGGGGAGACUCCGAGGGCGGGCGCGGCCCGCAUCCUUCCUGCCCAGCGGGCGCCCUGCGACCCCUCCCACAGCGUCCGGUCGCGGCUGACGUCCAGGGAGCCGUGGCCUCGCGCCCCGCACCUCAGAGGCAGGGCGAGGCGGCUGAGCCCAGGAAUCCGGCGACCCCUCUGAAGGGCCAGGCCCUCCCUCUAUGAAAUGCAGAGAAACAGCCUCAGGAAGACCCUCCCGAUGUUCCAAUCAGGUUCUCUUCUGACGUGAGCUGCUGUAGCAGAUGUUCAUGAACAUCAUGCCCUGGCAAGUGGGAGGGGAAAGAUACUACCUGAGAGCAUCUGCCCAACUCCCCUGACAAAGGCCGGGCAGCCAGUCGGUCUACAGAUGUCAAACAGACAGCACCAGAGAGGCUCUGUGAAUAAAACUUUAAUAAUGUACAGCAGAAAUUGGACAGGCUCAUUCUUAUAUUAAAACAAAAGAUUUCCUAUAUUACAACUUAUUUACAUUUGCAUACUGAAGAGGUAAAGUGUCUAAGUGGCUAUUUUACAGUCCAUUCUAAUAAAAUGUACAAAAACAAACAGAAGUACCGAGAAUGCCGUUCAGGGGCCUCGAUGGCGACAUUAAGAACGGGCUUGGACUUGGUCUGUGAAUCCAAAAUCCAGAGGUGCAGGUAGCCCUAUGGAUCAGGGUUAGCCUCAGGGAGCCAAAACCACAGCUUUAGUUUCUCCCCAACUCUCUAACUCCUAACUCGUGGGUUAAGAGUGGCGGCAGUGGGGCUGGGAGCUUCCCCCCAGAACUGCUGAGUCUUCCCCGGAGGUGGAGGAGUGUGUGGUGAGGACAGCUGGGCCACCUGGGCAGUGGGCUAGUGGCUUAGGAGUCCCUGGGUCGAGGAGUGUCGGCAGAUCCCAGAGGCUGGUUGAGGCAGGGAGUGAGGAGUCUGAGUUCCAUCAGCUCCCAUAACCCGCCAAGCUCUGCCGGAGGGCAGACAAGAAGGGGGAAGCGCGUCAGCAGGGGUAGGGAAAGAAGAUCCCCCUAAUGACACAAUUGGUAUUUAAGGGAAAUUAAUCAGUAGCCAGUAAAUUGGCCCAAAGGGUGAGGGGAAGAUCUCCUUUAACGCAAGGAAAGAAGCACUACACCGGGAAAAUAAAUAGGAAGGCCAGGGCACUGGGGAGACGGAUGGAAGUGGGGGGAGGGCUCCCCCCUCCUCCACAAGCUUUGGCAGAGAAUCGCUGGGCUAGAGGCAGGGAUGGGCUGAGGCUGCACACACACUGUGCCUCCCCUGGGGGGCAGGAAGGGGGCUCUGGAUGAACGCAGUGAUGGGGGGUUUCACUGCCCACCACCGGCCUCUUUGGUGGGGGACAGGGGGGCAUCCUCGCCUCCUUAGUGGUCUUGUAUAAGAGCAAUCGCUCCAGGCUCAAAAGGCUCAGAACCAACUAUGAAAACUUCUGGUCUCAAGAUAGGCACCCCCUGACUUGAGUCAGUCCCAUUGUCAGCGCUCCAAGAGCAGGACCCAAGCCUAUCUUUGUUCACAGCUGUAUUUCCCAGCACCCAGCAUGGUGCCUGACACCCAGCUGGCACUCAGCGAGUGUCCGCUGAGUGAGUGCCUGGAGGAGAAGGUGCAACCUGUGGGCGACGCACAAAAAGCUAAAGCCCCAGUGCAAAACCCACUUUGGGUGGGACUGGGCAGGGAGGCAGGACGCCAGCGAGACCAACCCCCAGGGCAGAGGAACUCUUGCAGCUGAGGUGGGGGGGGAGCAGGCUCAGGUACAAGGACAGAUAUUUCCAGUGUGAUUGAGCUGUGUGCGUCUGAUUGAAGCAUUUUUUUUGUGUGGUUGUUUUUAUAGGGAUUUCCUUAAAAACAAAUGGAUUGAGAGGUAAUUAUCACAUAGAGAUGGUUUUCCUUUUAUAAAAACUUAACAGUAUUUAAAAAAAGUUAAAAUCCAGACCCUCCCAAUAAAAUUAAAAAAAAAAAAAAAAAAAAAAGAAAGAAAAGAAAACCAAACCACUCCA